GAUGAACGCUAGCUACAGGCUUAACACAUGCAAGUCGAGGGACCGGCGCACGGGUGAGUAACACGUAUCCAACCUGCCCUUUACUCGGGGAUAGCCUUUCGAAAGAAAGAUUAAUACCCGAUAUAAAGGAUGGGGAUGCGUUCCAUUAGGUUGUGGGUGAGGUAACGGCUCACCAAGCCUUCGAUGGAUAGGGGUUCUGAGAGGAAGGGCCACCACAUUGGAACUGAGGCACGGUCCAAACUCGUACGGGAGGCAGGAGUGAGGAAUAGUGGGCAAGUGGCGCUAGCCUGAACCAGCCAAGUAGCGUGAAGGAUGAAGGCUUAUGGGUCGUAAUCUACUUUUAUAGAAGAAUAUGUAUUAUAUGAAUAAGGAUCGGCUAACUCCGUGCCAGCCGCCGCGGUAAUUC
rnacentral:rRNA from 1 species